GACGAACGCUGGCGGCGUGCUUAACACAUGCAAGUCGAACGAUGAAGCCGGAGCUUGCUCCGGUGGAUUAGUGGCGAACGGGUGAGUAACACGUGAGCAAUCUGCCCUUGACUCUGGGAUAACUGCGGGAAACUGUAGCUAAUACCGGAUACGACACCUUGGGGCAUCCCAGGGUGUGGAAAGAAUUUCGGUCAAGGAUGAGCUCGCGGCCUAUCAGCUAGUUGGUGAGGUAAUGGCCCACCAAGGCGACGACGGGUAGCCGGCCUGAGAGGGUGACCGGCCACACUGGAACUGAGAGACGGCCCAGACUCCUACGGGAGGCAGCAGUGGGGAAUAUUGCACAAUGGGCGCAAGCCUGAUGCAGCAACGCCGCGUGAGGGAUGACGGCCUUCGGGUUGUAAACCUCUUUUAGCAGGGAAGAAGCGAAAGUGACGGUACCUGCAGAAGAAGCACCGGCUAACUACGUGCCAGCCGCCGCCGUAA
rnacentral:rRNA from 1 species